rnacentral:lncRNA from 1 species
UAAAAAACGAAUUUUAUAUAAUUUUAACAUAGAAUUUCUUUUCAUGGUAAUAAAUAAAAAUUAAAAACAAAAUAAAUAAAAUAUAAUAAAAUUAAAAAUAGUAAUAGUUUAAAACCAAUACUAUGAAAAUUGCAUUUGUAAUAAUAAUAUGAUCCAAAAUCUUAACAGAAAAACCAUCCCCUAUAUAGUAAAAGAGAAGUACACUUUUCUUUCAAAAAAAAAAAAACGAAAUUACCAAAAUAACAACAUCCUAACCUUUUCUUUUCAUUGUCAUUAAGGGUAGACAUGUAUUUUAAACAUAAACGGAUCGGGUCAAUUGAACAAUUUAAACCCGAAAUUGAUAAUCGGAUCUUUAUCAAAUGGAUGAACCUAAUUUGACGG